rfam:Cavia porcellus supercont2_49 genomic scaffold, whole genome shotgun sequence.
GGGGAUUUAGCUCAGUGGCACAAGCACCUGCCUGGCAAGCAUGAGGUUGUGAAUUCAAUCCCCA